UACGGAGGAUGCGAGCGUUAUCCGGAUUUAUUGGGUUUAAAGGGUGCGCAGGCGGGCUUUUAAGUCAGCGGUAAAAAUUCGGGGCUCAACCCCGUCCGGCCGUUGAAACUGGGGGCCUUGAGUGGGGGAGAAGAAGGCGGAAUGCGUGGUGUAGCGGUGAAAUGCAUAGAUAUCACGCAGAACCCCGAUUGCGAAGGCAGCCUUCCGGCGCCCUACUGACGCUGAGGCACGAAAGUGCGGGGAUCGAACAGG
rnacentral:rRNA from 1 species